rfam:Lysobacter gummosus strain 3.2.11, complete genome.
AUGGGACACGCCAUCGACGGCCUCGCGCCGGCGACGGCCAGAGGGAAUCCGGUUCGAAUCCGGAGCUGCCCCGCAGCGGUAUGGGAAACGAACGGGCCAUGGCACUGGGCGAUAUGCCCGGGAAGCGGCCUCAGUAGGAAAAAGCGAGGGGUAGAGUUCAGAGGAGUGAGAAACGAGUAAAAGCAUCGGCUUCGACUCGUUUCUCACUCCUCUGAACUCUACUUCCCGCUCCAAGUCCCGAGCCCGAAGACCUGCCGCGACCGGAAGGUUCGC